GGAUUAGAUACCCUGGUAGUCCACGCCGUAAACGAUGUAUGCUUGGUGUUCCUACUAUGUAGGAGUGCCGGAGGAAAUCCGUUAAGCAUACCACCUGGGAAGUACGAUCGCAAGGUUGAAACUCAAAGGAAUUGACGGGGGCCCGCACAAGCGGUGGAUUAUGUGGUUUAAUUCGAUGCAACGCGAAGAACCUUACCAGGGCUUGAACUGCAGUGGACAGAUUGUGAAAGCAAUUUUUUCUUCGGAACUGCUGUAGAGGUGCUGCAUGGCUGUCGUCAGCUCGUGCCG
rnacentral:rRNA from 1 species